rnacentral:rRNA from 1 species
GAGUUGUAAUUUGUAGAGGAUGUUUCGGGCGCGGCGCCGGUCUAAGUCCCUUGGCACAGGGCGUCACAGAGGGUGAGAAUCCCGUAUGUGACCGGCGACCAACCCCAUGUGAAACCCCUUCGACGAGUCGAGUUGUUUGGGAAUGCAGCUCAAAAUGGGUGGUAAAUUUCAUCUAAAGCUAAAUACCGGCCAGAGACCGAUAGCGCACAAGUAGAGUGAUCGAAAGAUGAAAAGCACUUUGGAAAGAGAGUCAAACAGUACGUGAAAUUGUUGAAAGGGAAGCGCUUGCAAUCAGACCUGUCCGCGGGCGUUCCACCUCCGUUCUCGGGGGCCCACUCGCCCGUGAUCAGGCCAGCAUCGGUUCGGGCGGCCGGAUAAAGGCCUUGGGAAUGUAGCUCCCCUCGGGGAGAACUUAUAGCCCUCGGUGCAAUGCGGCCAGCCAGGACCGAGGACCGCGCUCG